GAUUUCUGGCUUGGUGCGCGCCGUCCGCUUCCGUUAGGGAGUGUGUGCGGUUGUGCGCCUGCCAUCAUUUUAGACAUUAUGCUGUGCCCUUCACUGGGUGGCAGGUAGUGGCUGAAUCUUUUACUUUGAAAAAAUUAGAGUGUUCAAAGCAGGCUUGCGCUAUGAAUACAUUAGCAUGGAAUAAUAAUUUAGGACUUCUGUUCUAUUUUGUUGGUUUCUAGGAUGGAAGUAAUGAUUGAUAGGGAUAGUUGGGGGUGCUAGUAUUCAGAGGCCAGAGGUGAAAUUCUCGGAUUCUCUGAAGACUAACUUAUGCGAAAGCAUU
rnacentral:rRNA from 1 species